rnacentral:rRNA from 1 species
GACGAACGCUGGCGGCGUGCUUAACACAUGCAAGUCGAACGCUGAAGCUUGGUGCUUGCACUGGGUGGAUGAGUGGCGAACGGGUGAGUAAUACGUGAGUAACCUGCCCUUGACUCUGGGAUAAGCCUGGGAAACUGGGUCUAAUACUGAAUACGACAUGCCACUGCAUGGUGGUGUGUGGAAAGGGUUUUACUGGUUUUGGAUGGGCUCACGGCCUAUCAGCUUGUUGGUGGGGUAAUGGCCUACCAAGGCGACGACGGGUAGCCGGCCUGAGAGGGUGACCGGCCACACUGGGACUGAGACACGGCCCAGACUCCUACGGGAGGCAGCAGUGGGGAAUAUUGCACAAUGGGCGGAAGCCUGAUGCAGCGACGCCGCGUGAGGGAUGACGGCCUUCGGGUUGUAAACCUCUUUCAGCACGGAAGAAGCGAGAGUGACGGUACGUGCAGAAGAAGCGCCGGCUAACUACGUG